UACGUAGGGUGCGAGCGUUAAUCGGAAUUACUGGGCGUAAAGCGUGCGCAGGCGGUUCGUUGUGUCGGCGGUGAAAGCCCCGGGCUUAACCUGGGAACGGCCGUUGAAACUGGCGAACUGGAGUGUGGCAGAGGGGGGUGGAAUUCCGCGUGUAGCAGUGAAAUGCGUAGAGAUGCGGAGGAACACCGAUGGCGAAGGCAGCCCCCCUGGGCUAACACUGACGCUCAGGCACGAAAGCGUGGGGAGCAACAGG
rnacentral:rRNA from 1 species